rnacentral:rRNA from 1 species
CCUACGGGAGGCAGCAGUGGGGAAUAUUGGGCAAUGGGCGAAAGCCUGCCCCAGCAACGCCGCGUGAAGGAAGAAGGCUUUCGGGUUGUAAACUUCUUUUGACAGGGAAGAGCAGAAGACGGUACCUGUCGAAUAAGCCACGGCUAACUACGUGCCAGCAGCCGCGGUCAUACGUAGGUGGCAAGCGUUGUCCGGAUUUACGGGGUGUAAAGGGCGUGUAGCCGGGCUGACAAGUCAGAUGUGAAAUCCGGGGGCGCAACCCCCGACCUGCAUUUGAAACUGCUGGUCUUGAGUAUCGGAGAGGCAGGCGGAAGUCCUAGUGUAGCGGUGAAAUGCGUAGAUAUUAGGAGGAACACCAGUGGCGAAGGCGGUCUGCUGGACGACAACUGACGGUGAGGCGCGAAAGCGUGGGGAGCAAACAGGAUUAGAGACCCGUGUAGUC